UUGAACGCUGGUGGCAGGCUUAACACAUGCAAGUCGAACGGUAACAGGAAUUAGCUUGCUAAUUUGCUGACGAGUGGCGGACGGGUGAGUAAUGCUUGGGAAUCUGGCUUAUGGAGGGGGAUAACUACGGGAAACUGUAGCUAAUACCGCGUAAAAUCUUCGGAUUAAAGGGUGGGACUUUCGAGCCACCUGCCAUAAGAUGAGCCCAAGUGGGAUUAGGUAGUUGGUUAGGUAAAGGCUGACCAAGCCGACGAUCUCUAGCUGGUCUGAGAGGAUGACCAGCCACACUGGAACUGAGACACGGUCCAGACUCCUACGGGAGGCAGCAGUGGGGAAUAUUGCACAAUGGGGGGAACCCUGAUGCAGCCAUGCCGCGUGAAUGAAGAAGGCCUUCGGGUUGUAAAGUUCUUUCGGUGACGAGGAAGGUUGAUAGGUUAAUAGCCUAUCAAAUUGACGUUAAUCACAGAAGAAGCACCGGCUAACUCCGUG
rnacentral:rRNA from 1 species